rnacentral:tRNA from 1 species
GCCCCCAUAGCUCAACGGAUAGAGCAUCUCCCUUCUAAGGAGGAGAUGAAGGUUCAAUUCCUUCUGGGGGUA